rnacentral:rRNA from 1 species
AAACCAACAGGGAUUGCCUUAGUAACGGCGAGUGAAGCGGCAAAAGCUCAAAUUUGAAAUCUGGCGCCUUCGGUGUCCGAGUUGUAAUUUGAAGAAGGUAACUUUGGAAUUGGCUCUUGUCUAUGUUCCUUGGAACAGGACGUCACAGAGGGUGAGAAUCCCGUGCGAUGAGAUGCCCAAUUCUAUGUAAAGUGCUUUCGAAGAGUCGAGUUGUUUGGGAAUGCAGCUCUAAGUGGGUGGUAAAUUCCAUCUAAAGCUAAAUAUUGGCGAGAGACCGAUAGCGAACAAGUACAGUGAUGGAAAGAUGAAAAGAACUUUGAAAAGAGAGUGAAAAAGUACGUGAAAUUGUUGAAAGGGAAGGGCUUGAGAUCAGACUUGGUAUUUUGCGAUCCUUUCCUUUUUGGUUGGGUUCCUCGCAGCUUACUGGGCCAGCAUCGGUUUGGAUGGUAGGAUAAUGACUUUGGAAUGUAUCUCUACUUCGGUGGAGUGUUAUAGCCUUUGUUGAUACUGCCUGUCUAGACCGAGGACUGCGUCUUUUGACUAGGAUGCUGGCAUAAUGAUCUUAAGCCAC